ACCCCCCUUCGAAACACGGACCAAGGAGUCUAGCGUGUGCGCGAGUCAUUGGGUGUAAAACCUAAAGGCGAAAUGAAAGUGUCGGGGGCGUCUCCUUUAGGAGCGCUCCUCUGAGGGAGGAUGGGCGGCCGUACGUGAAAUCGUCGGAGCCCCGCACUCCCGGGGCGUCUCGUUCUCCUCGCGAGUAGAGACGCACCAGGAGCGCACACGCUGGUACCCGAAAGAUGGUGAACUAUGCCUGGCCAGGACGAAGCCAGGGGAAACCCUGGUGGAGGUCCGAAGCGAUUCUGACGUGCAAAUCGAUCGUCUGAGCUGGGUAUAGGGGCGAAAGACCAAUCGAACCAUCUAGUAGCUGGUUCCCUCUGAAGUUUCCCUCAGGAUAGCUGGCUCUCGGAGAGUGACGAGUCUCAUCCGGUAGAGCGAAUGAUUAGAGGUGAUGGGGUCGAAACGACUUCAACCUAUUCUCAAACUCCCAAUAGAUGAGAGCCCCGGCUUGCUUAAAAGUGAAGCCGCGGGACUCGGAUCAGAGAGGCCAAGUGGGCCAAUUUUGGUAAGCAGAACUGGCGCUGUGGGAUGAACCAAACGCAGAGUUAAGGCGCCUGAUUCGACGCUCAUCUGAAACCAUGAAAGGCGUUGGUUGCUUAAGACAGCAGGACGGUGGCCAUGGAAGUCGG
rnacentral:rRNA from 1 species